rnacentral:rRNA from 1 species
ACGGGAGGCAGCAGUGGGGAAUAUUGGGCAAUGGGCGCAAGCCUGACCCAGCAAUGCCGCGUGAAGGAAGAAGGCUUUCGGGUUGUAAACUUCUUUUAAGUGGGACGACAAUGACGGUACCACUUGAAUAAGCUCCGGCUAACUACGUGCCAGCAGCCGCGGUAAUACGUAGGGGGCAAGCGUUAUCCGGAUUUACUGGGUGUAAAGGGAGUGUAGGUGGUUUGGCAAGCCAGAUGUGAAAGCCCGGGGCUCAACCCCGCGGACUGCAUUUGGAACUGUUAAACUUGAGUGCAGGAGAGGAAAGUGGAAUUCCUAGUGUAGCGGUGAAAUGCGUAGAUAUUAGGAGGAACACCAGUGGCGAAGGCGGCUUUCUGGACUGUAACUGACACUGAGGCUCGAAAGCGUGGGGAGCAAACAGGAUUAGAUACCCUGGUA